GACGAACGCUGGCGGCGUGCUUAACACAUGCAAGUCGAACGGAAAGGCCCUGCUUUUGUGGGGUGCUCGAGUGGCGAACGGGUGAGUAACACGUGAGUAACCUGCCCUUGACUUUGGGAUAACUUCAGGAAACUGGGGCUAAUACCGGAUAGGAGCUCCUGCUGCAUGGUGGGGGUUGGAAAGUUUCGGCGGUUGGGGAUGGACUCGCGGCUUAUCAGCUUGUUGGUGGGGUAGUGGCUUACCAAGGCUUUGACGGGUAGCCGGCCUGAGAGGGUGACCGGACACAUUGGGACUGAGAUACGGCACAGACUCAUACGGGAGGCAGCAGUGGGGAAUAGUGCACAAUGGGCGGAAGCCUGAUGCAGCAACGCCGCGUGCGGGAUGACGGCCUUCGGGUUGUAAACCGCUUUCGCCUGUGACGAAGCGUGAGUGACGGUAAUGGGUAAAGAAGCACCGGCUAACUACGUG
rnacentral:rRNA from 1 species